rnacentral:rRNA from 1 species
AUUGAACGCUGGCGGCAGGCCUAACACAUGCAAGUCGAGCGGAUGAAGGGAGCUUGCUCCUGGAUUCAGCGGCGGACGGGUGUGUAAUGCCUAGGAAUCUGCCUGGGAGUGGGGGAUAACGUCCGGAAACGGGCGCUAAUACCGCAUACGUCCUGAGGGAGAAAGUGGGGGAUCUUCGGACCUCACGCUAUCAGAUGAGCCUAGGUCGGAUUAGCUAGUUGGUGGGGUAAAGGCCUACCAAGGCGACGAUCCGUAGCUGGUCUGAGAGGAUGAUCAGUCACACUGGAACUGAGACACGGUCCAGACUCCUACGGGAGGCAGCAGUGGGGAAUAUUGGACAAUGGGCGAAAGCCUGAUCCAGCCAUGCCGCGUGUGUGAAGAAGGUCUUCGGAUUGUAAAGCACUUUAAGUUGGGAGGAAGGGCAGUAAGUUAAUACCUUGCGGUAUUGACGUUACCGAAAGAAUAAGCACCGGCUAACUACGUG